AUUGAACGCUGGCGGCAGGCCUAACACAUGCAAGUCGAACGGUAACAGGGAUCAGCUUGCUGAUUCGCUGACGAGUGGCGGACGGGUGAGUAAUGUCUGGGAAACUGCCUGAUGGAGGGGGAUAACUACUGGAAACGGUAGCUAAUACCGCAUAACGUCGCAAGACCAAAGAGGGGGACCUUCGGGCCUCUUGCCAUCGGAUGUGCCCAGAUGGGAUUAGCUAGUAGGUGGGGUAACGGCUCACCUAGGCGACGAUCCCUAGCUGGUCUGAGAGGAUGACCAGCCACACUGGAACUGAGACACGGUCCAGACUCCUACGGGAGGCAGCAGUGGGGAAUAUUGCACAAUGGGCGCAAGCCUGAUGCAGCCAUGCCGCGUGUAUGAAGAAGGCCUUCGGGUUGUAAAGUACUUUCAGCGGGGAGGAAGGGAGUAAAGUUAAUACCUUGGCUCAUUGACGUUACCCGCAGAAGAAGCACCGGCUAACUCCGUG
rnacentral:rRNA from 1 species